rnacentral:lncRNA from 10 species
UCGAAUUCUUGACCGCAGAUGAUCCACCCGCCUUGGCCUCCCAAAGUGCUGGGAUUACAGAUGUGAGCCACCGCUCCUGGCCAUCAUUGUGGUUUCCUUGCAAUUUCUCUGAUAACUAAUAUUGUUAGGCACCAUUUCAUGUGCAUAUUGCUCAUUGUGUUUUAUAAUUAGAGAUUCAGUGGGUACAUGUGCAGGUUUCUUAUAUGUGUAUACUGUGUAAUGCUAUGGUUUGGGCUUCCAGUGAACCCAUCAUCCAAAAAGAGAACACGGUGAUUUGUGGGUUUUCUAGAGGUACUCUUGAUAUGGUUUGGCUGUGUCCACACCCAAAUCUCAUCUUGACUAGUAGCCCCCAUAAUUCCCUCAUGUUGUGGAAGGCACCCAGUGGGAGAUAAUUGAAUCAUAGGGGUAGUUUCCCCCAUACUGUUCUCAUGGUAGUGAAUAAGUAUCAAGAGAUCUGAUGGUUCUAUAAGAGGAAACCCCCUUCACUUGGCUCUUAUUCUCUCUUGUCUGCCACCAUGUAAGAAGUGCCUUUCACCUUCCACCUUCUGCCAUGAUUGUGAGGCACCCUCAGCCAUGUGGAACUGUGAGUUCAUGAAACCUCUUUUUGUUAAUAAAUUACCCAGUCUCAGUUGUGUCUUUAUCAGCAGCGUGAAAACGGACUAAUACAACUUUUCCAGGUUGAGGAAGCUCUUUACUGUUCUUACUUUUUUUGAAAGUUUUAAUCAUGAAAGUGUGCUCAAUUUUUACAAACAUUUCAUUUUUUCUCUUAAGAUGGCAAUUUGAUUUUGUCCUUCAUUCUAUUGAUAUGAUAUGUUACAUUGAUUGAUAUUUAACUGUAAAACCAAAUAUAUACCAAUAUAUAAUAAUAUUUAUUCUCUAAACAAGUGGGCAGGGAUAAAAUCAGCUUUAAAAUAACAGAUUCUUCUUAUUAUGAAAUUUAAAGUCUCAGAAGUAUGGGGUAUGAUUAUUCUGUUAUGCAGGGUGUAAUGUAACAAAUUUCCAAAGAAACUAUGAAUCAUUAGAGAUAGGAGAGAUCAUCUGGCUAAGGCUGAUGUAAUCAGGGAAAUUUUGGUGAAAAAAAUAACAACUAAGAUGGAGUUUAUACAUAGUGUUGCAUAAGUUAGGGAGAGGUAAGACUGGAAAGUAGAUUGGAGUAAAAUCUUAAAAUUUUUCACAUCUAAGCUGAAAACAUUUUGUGUAUUGGACAAUAAGCAGUUGUGAAGGUCUCAGAGUAAAAGCUAGGUAUAAUCAGAGUUGUAAGAAACAAAAGUCAACCUGACUUCUGUGAGAGAUACAGAAAACUAAUGAGAAGAAAGGGCCAGUUAAGAGACCACCAAGACAGUGGACGUCCAGCCAAGAAUAAAUAAGAAGGCAAUCACCAGGGAGAACAUCAGAUCAAUUUGAACGGAAGCUUUCUGUUGACUUUCAUCAGACUAUUGAAACGGAUAUAUGAUGUAGGACUCUGACAGAAGAAAGGGCUCAGUGGUAUUCCGUUGUGUCUG